rnacentral:lncRNA from 1 species
AGCUCAACAUCAAAUAAAAUUGAAUUUUAAACAAAAAAAUCCUGGUUCUAAGUAUCCAGUAUUUCUCCUGUAUCCUCUCUAAUCAGAGACCUAGAGCUAGAAAGGACCUUAGAGGACAUCUCCUGCACCUCCAUUUUACAGAUCAAGAAACUGAGGCCCAUAGAAGUUUGCCUUUCCAUUGGGUCCACAGUGCUAGGCACACGAUGAAGAAACUGAGAGAUCUGACCUCAAGGCUCAUUAAUACUCCAUCAGCCUAAUCUAGUCAAUCAGCAGAGCAGAGAAGAAGCCCCUUCAGGACAGAAUAGCCCAAACCCACAGAUCCUGCAAAUAAUCAGAGGAGCAACAUUCCAGCCAAUGACAGGGGGCAAAGAAGGAAAAAAAUAUGAGUAAACAGCAGAAAAAGAAAAAAUAAAUUAUAAUUGACAGCUUCUAUCCA